rnacentral:rRNA from 1 species
UACGGGGGGGGCAAGCGUUGUUCGGAAUUACUGGGCGUAAAGCGCGCGUAGGCGGACCUGCAAGUCAGGGGUGAAAUCCUGGAGCUCAACUCCAGAACUGCCUUUGAUACUGGCGAGCUUGAGUCCGGGAGAGGUGAGUGGAACUGCGAGUGUAGAGGUGAAAUUCGUAGAUAUUCGCAAGAACACCAGUGGCGAAGGCGGCUCACUGGCCCGGUACUGACGCUGAGGCACGAAAGCGUGGGGAGCAAACAGG